GCUAUGCCAGAUCCUUGUUAAUAAUUGAAGGAAUGCUAUGUUAGUUGAACUUUGCAGUUUUUGCCCGGGAUUUAUUACAUGGUAUAAAUCAGAGAACUUGUGACUUGAGGUCUCAAAGCUGUUGCUCCCGAAGAAAGUAAUAGCUGCCCUCCUCUCUCCUCCCCAUAGGUGAUUUUCUAUACUUUCUUAUAUAUUCCAUCUAGUAAUUAUCUUCCUCAUUGCAUUUUGUUACUUGCUCUGUAAGGAAGAAUUUUAUGUCUUUGAUAAUCCUUAUCUCCUUUUUGUUGCUAGAUUUUCUUCUGUGUCCUUGAUCAGUGAGUAUCACUGUUAAAGAUUCAGAAGCAUCAUGACAUGACAAUGAUUUCUUUUUCAUUCCCUUCUACUCCUAUUUCUAUUUCCAUUUCCACUUCACCCUUCUUUCCUAUCCCUUCUGAGACUCUUUAAGUACCUUUAAUGAGACAAUUUAUUAUAUUCUGGCCUGUGUGGCAAAACCAGUUCUCAGCCUGUUGGCCUUCCAGGAGCUCUGCAUAAGCCAUUGCUUCUGAGAAAGAGUGCACUACAGGGUGUCUUCCUGCAGAUUCGCUGCACUGAGGAACACACAGGGGAAAAUAAUGACCCUACCUGAAAAAAACAAACAAAGGGAGUCUUUCCAGGCUAAAAGUGACUGGUGUGCCAUGACACGUGUUCAUUUUUCAGGUGGCUGUAAAACAUCUACUGAAGUGGCCAUGGACUCUUACUAUGAUCUUCAGAUUUUAAAGCCAAAAAGAAGCAAUUUUUAGAACUAGUAUUUGUUUUUACAGAACAGUGAUCGGCAGUGUUGAAGAGUGCAGUGAUGCAAUGCCAUACAAAGCUUUAUCUCAAGAAAUGGAUUCAACAGCCUUGCCUUUCCGUAUUAAAUUUUAGAGAUUUGAGAAAAAUCACCGGACUUCCACCCAGCAGAAAUCAGGUGAAAGCUUCUUCACUGGCAGACAAGGAAGAGAGGACUUGAGAAAGAGUUGUAGAAUCAUUGAGUAUCCCGAGGUGGAAGAGACUCAUAAGCAUCACUGAGUUAAAACACAAUCAGGACCCAUGACAGCAGGGCUGACUCAGCUGCUUAGCAUGGAAAAUCACCAAAAAUAUUCCACCCUGAGAGCUGAUAAAAGACACAAAGCACUUAAAAAGCCUCAGAUGUAAGAAGUGCCAAAGUCACUUCUGUUGGCAGGCUUUGAAGAUAACUGGCCAUCAGUCAGAAGAUGACUAAAGAAGACACGCUUGCAUCUGGUAAUGCAACAAAACUUCCUCAGUGCUUCUUUCCUCCUCCUCCUGCUGUGCAGGGUGAUGUGGAGCAGCUGCCUCUGUGGCUGCUCUCUGUGCUUAUCAUGUGCAAGCAGUUAAACACUUCCCAGCGUGGAGAAGCGGUGCAGUCUCCUUGGCUGAAAUCUGCCUCCUGCAUGGCAAUGCAGAGGGGGAGGGAGGGCUGGGCUGAGGCAGCCUCACACCUUCACCAUUUCAUGCCUGAUCAGUUGCACCCCACUGUGCUGGAAAAUAUGUUAUGCCAAACUAAUCCUAUUCUGAGAAAACAUUUCAGGGGCAACUGCCAUACCUGUGAUAUUUCAAAUACGAGUUUGGAAUUCACACCUUAUCAGGAAGAGCACACUGACUUUCGUAGUAGUUGUCUGGUGAGUUUGGGUACAGCAGCACAAAUGUUUACUUACACCGUGUUCAGAGAUGAUAAACCACAGCUGCUAACAGAUUGCUAAUUAAAUCUUAGUUAAGCUUUGUCCUUCCCGCCUUUGUGCAAACCUUUAGCAUUUAAGAAUGCAAUUUGCAUGCACAGAGGCAGCAAAGGAAGCGCUGUUUUGGUAAUAAGAUGAGGAGGUGCUCUCUCCACAUUCAGGCUUUAUCUGCCACAGAGGUGCUGGUUCCUGGGAUUCAUUGCUGCUGCUUAUUCAGGCGCUCAGAGGUUUGUGCUGCAUAUUAAUUUCUGUCCAACACGGGAAUUCAAUUUGUGCCGUACAUUUCAUUUCUUCACAGAUUUAGAUUUAUUUCAUGUUCUCUGCUUUUAAUUAACUCUCUGGCACAGCUGCUGGACAGGAUAUAAAAACUCAUUGCUCUCCCCGCGCUGUGUGUACACCACCAAUCAUUUGCCACUUAGAUGGUGGUGCAGGAGCAAUCAGUUUCCAUGGCAACCCAGGCCCCAUUGAUUGAUUCCUUGCCAGUGUGGCAUCACCACGCGGAGCGAGGCUUGUGAUUUUUGCAUGCGUGCAACAUCCAUCUAAUUAAAAUGGGAUUAGAGAUUCAUCCCUGUAUGUGUUCAACAACUGCACUGCAAUCCAUUUAUGUAAAUGUCAACUCUAUUCAGCACCGUCAUCGGAGUGUUGAUGAAGAAACAGUUGCUUUGCUUCAGUAUCUUGCAGUGGGUGGGGGAAAUGGAAAGAGUAAAAUGUACACAGCCUUUUUUUGGCUAUUAGAAAAAAAUAAUAAAAUAAAGCCAUUCACUGAUGCUCAAAAGUUAUGAAAAUAGUAACCUGUUUCCAAAUCUGCAUUAGAACCCUGGGUAGCAAAGAUGGAAGAGCUCUUCUGGCUGUGCUGAUGUGCUGGUGGCUCACCCAGGAAAAUGUGUUGAGCCUGUCCAGGAAAAUCAUUAAUUAAUUUAGCAUGCAUGAAUUAUUUAUUUGCCAAAAGCUUUUAAUUCCUAUGAUUGAUUUGCAUUCAGUCGCACCUCCUGAGAGCAAAGUAAUCCUGGUGCUCUCAUAAUUGUCCUUCAGUAGAGCAUUCCUCAAGCCUUAUAGUGGUUACUUGAAAAUUUGUGAGGCUUUUGCAGAUUAGGUGAGUUGACAGAUCUAUAGCAUACAAGGAGGCUCCAGAUGAAAGGAGAAACUCAGGGAUUUUUUGGAGGGUUAAAAAAGAAGCCAGGUCCAUCAGGGAAUUGCUAGAUGUAAAUUAGAAGAAAAAACAGAAAUGAAUGGACGCUUGGUGACUGAUCUGUUAGAAUUUUUUCUUAAUAUGUCAUCAUUUUUUCCACAUACCAUUGACAAAAUAAUCUGUUAACAUGAAAAGUGGC
ensembl:lncRNA